UACGUAGGGUGCAAGCGUUGUCCGGAAUUAUUGGGCGUAAAGAGCUCGUAGGCGGUUUGUCGCGUCUGCUGUGAAAACCCGAGGCUCAACCUCAGGCCUGCAGUGGGUACGGGCAGACUAGAGUGCGGUAGGGGAGAUUGGAAUUCCUGGUGUAGCGGUGGAAUGCGCAGAUAUCAGGAGGAACACCGAUGGCGAAGGCAGAUCUCUGGGCCGUAACUGACGCUGAGGAGCGAAAGCAUGGGUAGCGAACAGG
rnacentral:rRNA from 1 species